rnacentral:rRNA from 1 species
AGAGUUUGAUCAUGGCUCAGAUUGAACGCUGGCGGCAGGCCUAACACAUGCAAGUCGAACGGUAGCACAGGGAGCUUGCUCCUGGGUGACGAGCGGCGGACGGGUGAGUAAUGUCUGGGAAACUGCCCGAUAGAGGGGGAUAACUACUGGAAACGGUAGCUAAUACCGCAUAAUCUCUAAGGAGCAAAGCAGGGGACCUUCUGGCCUUGCGCGAUUGGAUAUGCCCAGGUGGGAUUAGCUAGUAGGUGAGGUAACGGCUCACCUAGGCGACGAUCCCUAGCUGGUCUGAGAGGAUGACCAGCCACACUGGAACUGAGACACGGUCCAGACUCCUACGGGAGGCAGCAGUGGGGAAUAUUGCACAAUGGGCGCAAGCCUGAUGCAGCCAUGCCGCGUGUAUGAAGAAGGCCUUCGGGUUGUAAAGUACUUUCAGCGAGGAGGAAGGCAUUAAGGUUAAUAACCUUAGUGAUUGACGUUACUCGCAGAAGAAGCACCGGCUAACUCCGUGCCAGCCGCCGCGGUAAUAC